CCACAGCAAUGCUUGAUCCUUAACUCACUGAGGGAAGCCAAGUAUUGAACCCACGUCCUCAUGGAUACUAGUGGGGUUUGUUACCACUGAGCCACAAUGGGAACUCAGAUUAUUUAUUUUAUGCCACGUUGUGCGUUAUCUCUUGAUCCUAUACCCUUAUCGUUCCCCUCUCCCUUCCCCUCUUGCGGUCUGUCUGAGCAUUCGAUUUCUUCUCUCUCCACAGUCCACCGAUGGGUUUAGCAAUUGGCACCAUUCGGCUCCCUGCCCCUUUGGCCCUCAUUUAGAGCCAGGUGUGCUGUUCCAGUGAUCAGAGGGUAUCACAGACCAGGCAGGCAGUUGACAAGAUGGUGUGGGUUACCGGCUGCAGGGCGUGUUGAGCCCUCCUGCCACCUUUCCAAAGACGAAGACGUCUUCCUGAAUGUCUCUGUCCAGCUGGGAUGCCGGCGAAGCUCCUUCCAAGCGGAAUACAUCCGGAGUGAGUCUCCAUGGGGCACUAACAGGAGCGGGAGCGGUGUUCACUGCCUAUCUCUAGGAGCCAUGAACUAAAUGCUGGGGCAGCUCUACACUGGAAUGAAGCUUGUUGAAAGUGAGGUACAUCCAUGUCACAUGUCCAGGAUACAGAGGUAAGUGAAAAGGCAGGUCACACAAGAGCAUGAAUAGACCUAUCCACAUUUUUGUACAAGAAAAGUGAACUGACAGAUGCAGACAGAAGGCGAUGAUAACUCCGUGUUGACUGAGCUGCUAGCAAUGGUGAUCCCACACAGGUGGGGACAGAGGGUGCUUACACUCAAUACACACACACACACAUUUUAAUGAGCAUAUAUAUAUAUAUAUAUUAGUCUAGUAAGCAGAAAAAUACAAGUAAAAACAAAUCAUGAUUAGUAAAGCGUUUCAUAAUUAUUUUUAAAUUUCUGAACGUAAUAAAUGUUGGGUAUACCACUAAUUUAUCCACUCUUAUUCAUACAAUGUAUGAAUUAAAGUGGUAACCAAUAGGUCCACUAUUAUGGAUGAACAGCGUAAUCAGAGUUUUCACUUAGUCAUAACUUCCUUUUCAAACGCUGCUCCUUGCCUCCAGGCAGAGUGUGACAUCCAUGGGUCAACUCACUGGCCAGACAUGUUUCAGAAAAUCACCCAGUGUCCCCUGGCUGCUGUGACACCAGCUACCUGAGCAAACAGAGCAGCUGCAGCAGAAGGCAGCCCUGUGUCACCACCCUAACCAUAUCAGUCCUGCUGAAAAUUCACUGACCUUCAUGUUUCUCCCACAGUCGGAGGUUUACACAAAUAGCCAAGAUGCUCACACAGGGAGAAACAGGAAAUCUCCUCUGCACAGAGAAUACAGGUAAAUGAGAUCAGCUGGAACAUACCUGGAUUUGAGGUGAAUGAAGGUGGACAUGGGCAAGAGACAUCUGUGACAAAUCUCAAGGAUGGAGAAGGGGGGCCAUUCAGCUGCUGCCACCUAUGCCCCAUCCAUGCAGAGGAGGGACAUCGUGGCUGUGCUGCCUGGGCCUCUCCUGCCCUCUGCCUAUACCUCCAGAAUUUCUUCAGGGGCUGGAGGCUGGUCUCACCACCCCUGGUCAAUGAUUAUGAACAGUGAACACAUCAUUAUAAAGAUGAAGAAAACCGUGGCUUUAAGGGACAAGGGGGAGAG